rnacentral:rRNA from 1 species
UACGUAGGGGGCGAGCGUUGUCCUGAUUUAUUGGGCGUAAAGAGCUCGUAGGCGGUUUGGUAAGUCGGGUGUGAAAACCCCAGGCUCAACCUGGGGACGCCACCUGAUACUGCUAUGACUUGAGUCUGGUAGGGGAUCACGGAAUUCCUGGUGUAGCGGUGAAAUGCGCAGAUAUCAGGAGGAACACCGGUGGCGAAGGCGGGUCUCUGGGCCGAUACUGACGCUGAGGAGCGAAAGCGUGGGGAGCGAACAGG